rnacentral:rRNA from 1 species
CGGUGGAUGAUGUGGAUUAAUUCGAUGCAACGCGAAAACCUUACCUACCCUUGACAUGUCCGGAAUCCGAAGAGAUUUGGGAGUGCUCGCAAGAGAGCCGGAACACAGGUGCUGCAUGGCUGUCGUCAGCUCGUGUCGUGAGAUGUUGGGUUAAGUCCCGCAACGAGCGCAACCCUUGUCAUUAGUUGCCAUCAUUUGGUUGGGCACUCUAAUGAGACUGCCGGUGACAAACCGGAGGAAGGUGGGGAUGACGUCAAGUCCUCAUGGCCCUUAUGGGUAGGGCUUCACACGUCAUACAAUGGUCGGUACAGAGGGUUGCCAACCCGCGAGGGGGAGCUAAUCCCACAAAGCCGAUCGUAGUCCGGAUCGCAGUCUGCAACUCGACUGCGCGAAGUCGGAAUCGCUAGUAAUCGUGGAUCAGCAUGUCACGGUGAAUACGUUCCCGGGUCUU